UAAAUAACAGACAGAAGCAAUCGCCACACGCUCGCGAUCGCUGCGAAAGCAGGAUCCGCUCGCCCGCCCUAGGCCAGGAAGCAGGAGCACUGCGCCUGCGCAAGAGGACGGCUGCCGCCCUGGAGCAAAGAGGGUCGUGGUCAGAAAGAAGUUGGGAGGCUUCCAGUACCAGACAAAAUGGAGUAAGGUACUGCAGUCUCUGCCACUGAUCACAACUAAAAAUGCUGGACAAAAUGUAACUAAGGACUCCGAAAAGUAAACAAGCAGCCAAAUUGUGGAAGGGAAUCAAAGCUUGAAGAAACUAUCUGUAUGGGCAGAUGGAGACCAUGGAAGAGGAAGUCAAUGAACUUGAAGAUAGAUGAAGAGAAAUUAUCUACUCUGAAGAACAGAAAGAAAAAAAGAUUGAAAAAAUAAUGAACAGUCUCAGGGUCUAAUGUUCAUAUUAUUGGAGGCCCAGGGGACAAAUAAGAGAUUGGUGCAGAAAAGGAAAUACUUGAAGAAAUACGCUCAAAUUUGAUGAAAGAUAUAAAAUUACAGAUUCAAGAAAAUUAAUGAACCCCAAACAGGACGAAUGCAAAAAAUGAACAAACUCCAGAAAACAAACACAAACAACUUACACUCAGACACAUAAUCAAACUCCAGAAACUUAAAAAAAAAACAAACUCAAAAGCAGUCUGCAAAACAAUACAGAAGUUCCCGAGAAAAUUAAAAAAUAGAAUUACCAGCAAUUCCACUUCUGAGUAUAUACUCAAAUAAUUGGAAGCUGGGUCUCGAAGAGAUGUUUGCACACCAUUGUUCAUAGCAGCAUCAUUCACAAUAGUCAAAAGAUAGAAGCAACACAAGUGCCCGUCAACAGAUGAAUGGAUAAACAAAAUGUGGUACAUACACACAAUCAAAAUUUAAUCUUAAAAAAGGAAGGAAAUUCUGAUCCAUGCUAAAACGUGGAUGAACCUUGAGGACAUUAUGCUUAAUGAAAGAAGCCAGUCACGAAAAGACAAAUACUAUAUGCUUCCACUUCUGUGAGGUAUCUAGAAAAUUCAAAUUCAAAAAGACAGAAAGUAGAAUGGUGGUUGCCAGGGGCUGGGGGCAGAAGAGAAUGGGAGCUGUUGUUUAAAGGGUAUAGAGUGUCACUUUUGCAAGGUGAGAGUUUUGGAGAUUGAUCGCACACAAUGUGAAUGUGCCUAACACUACUGUACACUUAAAAAUGAUUAAGAUGCCAAGUUUUCUGAUAUGUACAUUUUACCAGUUUUUUGUUUUUAAAAAAAGCCUGAGAAAAAUAAUGAAUUAAACACAGAAAAUUAUUCAAUGACUGUGGAUUUCUUGUUUUUUUUUUUUUUUGAGAUGGAGUCUCGCUCUGUCACUCAGGCUGGAGUGCAGUGGUGCAACCUCAGCUCACUGCAACCUCCACUUCUCGAGUUCAAGCGAUUCUCCUGCCUCAGCCUCCUGAGUAGCUGGGACUACAGGCAUGGGCCACCAUGCCCGGCUAAUUUUUGUGUUUUUAGUAGAGACGGGGUUUUUCACCAUAUUGGCCAGGCUGGUCUCGAACUCCUGACCUCGUGAUCACCCCGCCUCGGCCUCCCAAAGUGCUGUGAUUACAGGCAUGACUGUGAAUUUCUUAUCAGAAGCCAUGGAAAAAAAGAUGAUGGAACAAGACGGGUAAAGUGCCAGAAAGUAAAAAAAAAUCUAUAUCACGAGAAAAUAGAUUCAGGAAUGAAGGCAAAAUAAAGGCAUUCUCAGAUGAAAGAAAACUAAGAGAACUGUUGGCAGAUCUGUUCUAAGUGCUAAAGAAAGUUGUUUAGGCUGAAGGGAAACAACUGUACCAGAAAGAAACCUGGAACUUAAGGACUGAAGGAAGAACAUGACAGGUAAAGUCUCCUCUUCAGUUCCUUCAAAUAUGUACGACUGUUGAGAACAAAAUGAUAAUAGUAUCUGGUAAGGUUUUCAAUGGAUGUAGAUGUAAUUCAUGUAAUGAUUAUAAAGGAAGGAAGGAUUAAGGACCUAAAUGGUUGUUAAGACUUCUGAAUUUUAAUUGAAGAGAUAAAAUAUAAACUCUAAAUAGACUGUGAACAACUUUAGGUACGUAUAUUGUAAUCUUCAGAGCAAUCUCUUAAAAAAUAUAGAGAUAUAGCCAAAAGCCAAUAAAUAUGUUAUUCAAAUAAUUCAAAAGAUGACAGGAAAGGGUGGGGGGAAGUAACAAACAUAAAAGGGAACAAACAGAAAAAGAAAUAAAAUGGUAGAUUAAAUCCAACCAUAUUAAUAAUAUUAAUUGCAAAUGGCUUAAAUGUACCAAUUAAAAACAAGAGAUUGUCAGACUGGAUUGGAGAACAAGACCCAACUACACCGUCUUUAAGAAAUCCAUAUUGGCCGGGCGCGGUGGCUCAUGCCUGUAAUCCCAGCACUUUGGGAGGCCGAGGCGGGCAGAUCACAAGGUUAGGAGAUCGAGACCAUCCUGGCUAACAUGGUGAAACCCUGUCUCUACUAAAAAUACAAAAAAUAAGCUGGGUGUGGUGGCGGGCCCCUGUAGUCCCAGCUACUCGGGAGGCUGAGGCAGGAGAAUGGCAUGAACCCGGGAGGUGGAGCGUGCCGUGAGCUGAGAUCGUGCCACUGUACUCCAGCCUAGGCAACAGAGCAAGACUCUGUCUCAAAAAAAAAAAAAGAAAUCCAUAUUGAGGCUGAGCACGGUGGCUCAUGCCUGUAAUCCUAGCACUUUAAGAGGCCGAAGAGGGUGGAUCACCUGAGGUCAAGAGUUGGAGACCAGCCUGGUUAACAUGGCGAAACCCCAUCUCUACUAAAAACACAAAAAUUAGCAGGGUGUGGUGGCGGGCGCCUGUAAUCCCAGCUACUCAGGAGGCUGAGGCAGGAGAAUCACUUGAACCCAGGGGGCAGAGGUUGCAGUGAGCCAAGACUGACCCACUGCACUCCAGCCUGGGGCGACAAAGCAAGACUCCAUCUCAAAAAAAUAAAAAAUAAAAUAAGAAAUCACAUUGGACAUAAAGACAUAGAUAGGUUAAAAGUAAAGGAAGGAAAAUAAGUUUGGAGACCAGCGAGUGGUUUGAAGAGGUUUGGGCUUUCCUUUCAGAUAGCUGGGUUGAGUGGGGCAGGUUUAGUGGGGUCACUAUUGAGACAAGCUUAGUAUCCAUACAAGCAAAAGUAGCCCAGGGUCUGGCUCCCAGAUUCCCCACAAUGGCUCUCACUUCAGGCAGGGACUGUCACACUCACCCUGCAGAAGCCACACCACCUGCAGAACCAAACUGAACGGGAAUUCUCCUUGCUUCCAAGAAUUCUAAUUCAGCCUUUGCCAAAGCAAGGGGAUGCCUUUCCUUGGGAGAUGCCUUGGUUGGCCAUGGUUGUGGGCGUGUGGCACCUAUCCUGGCAAGCUGGCACAGGCUCAGAAGACCCUGGUCUUGUGGUACUGCACUUUAGGCUGAUUCUGUGGGAAGCUCAUCUUUUUCAUCAUGAAUCUAAAAUCAUCACCUUGGCAUCUAUGGCAGCUUCCAAAACUGUCUCCAACCAGGAAAUGAAUAUUGGAUGUCCUGAGAGAGGUAGAGUACCAGAAUCCUUUUAGCCAGGCAUAUGGCUGCCUGCAAUGGACUCAUCUUCCCAACCUCUCCUACAACUAGGUGCAACCUACCAUGGACUAAGUUCUGCUGUGAGUUGUAGGAGGAGGUACAAUGGGGCACCUUCCUGGAACCUUCCUUACAACACUGCUGGCACAUUUCCUUUUUCUUCUUUGUCACCUCUUUAAUUCAUCUGUGUAAAAAUAGCUGGAGUGCUGGCUACUAUCCUGACCAAGAAGACCUAGGGAGGGAGUCCAGGUACCUAAGCACUUUGUGAAACAGAGUCAUCUUACUAGCCCUGGGUUGCCUACUUUUGGGCAUUUAUGUGAGGGAGAAGUAAAUUCUCAUCCUGUGUAAGUCACUGUUAUUUAUUUAUUUGUUUAUUUAUUUAGAGACGGAGUCUCGCUCUUGUUGCCCAGGAUGGAGUGCAAUAGUGUGAUCUCGGCUCACUGCAACCUCCACCUUCCCGGGUUCAAGUGAUUCUCCUGCCUCAGCCUCGUGAGUAGCUGGGAUUACAGGUGCCCACCACCAUGCCUGGCUAAUUUUUUUUGUAUUUUUAGUAGAGACGGGGUUUCACUAUGUUGGCUCGGCUGGUCUCAAACUCCUGACCUUGUGAUCCACCUGCCUUGGCCUCCCAAAGUGCUGGGAUUACAGGCAUGAACCACUGUGUCCGCCCUAUUUUGGUUUUUAUUACACACAGCUGAAUUUAAUGUUUAUGUGGUUCCUAAUGACUGAAACCAAGAAAUACUCUCAAAUAAAUCCUAGGAAGGAAUUCUGGGUGGAGAAACCAUUCCAACCUGUCCUUUGUAGAUGAAAUGUAAUCAGCUACCUUUCUUGAGAUAUUUCACAGUAAGGUUACCAAGAAAAAAAACAACAGCUGACAACCAAAAAAAGACUUAAAGACAACCCUACAUGGCGGCCGUCUUAGUUCUUUCUGCUUUGGUGGAAACACACUGAACAGGCAAGCCAGGAGGACACCGGAUCUCUGGUUCUGACUUUGAUGCUGUCUUCCUUGGCCUUGGCUUGGAUUUUCCUCCGUGAAUGAGGGGGUUAAACUAGAUAUCUCCAAGUUUUCAUCCAGCACUGAAAUUCUAGUCUGUUUUCUACCCUCCAUCAGAUGACAUACUUCUUUUAGAUGAAUGAAAUAAUCCAUGUAAAGUGCUUCUCAGAGUGGUUGGCAAGUUAACUCUUUUUAGUAGUUUCAUUUACCAAGUUACUCAUUUUUGUAGUUUCCACAGUACCUUUCACAGAUGGAUGUCGGCUAAGUGUUUGCUGGUUGAUCCUCUGCUGAGGCCCUGCUCACCUCACAGAAGGCCUGACUGCACACCUACUAGUAUCAGCAAGAAAAACUCAGGAAGAGGAGACUCUUUAGGUUCCAUGGACACAUACGGGAGAAAAACCAGCAGAUGGAGGAGGAAAUACACCAUUUAUUUACAAUUCUUUUCACUUUAUCCACAAUUUCCCAUACAAACAUAAAAACUAAAAAAAUAAAACCACCACUUGGGAACACAA